rnacentral:lncRNA from 1 species
AGGGAACAGGGCCGGCGGUCAAUUCCGAUCGCCGGCGCCGGAGAUUUCAAGGAAAAUAAGCCAAAAAACAGAGUCUGUUCCCGACCAAAAAUCGGCGACGCUCGUCGCCGGCCACCGCACACAAAUGCACGGGGGAAAGAGGAAGGAAGGGAGGAAAAAGUGAAGGACUUACCACGACCUCCUGGGACCUCGUCGGAGAGAAAACACGAUGAGGAACCAAUUGCGCCUGCGGCUCUUCUUCGGGAAAAUCGGAGAGAAAGAGGGGAAGAAAAGACCGAUGAAUCGAUUCUAAAGAGAGGGGGUCUUCUUAUAGGAAUUCCUAGGACUCCGAGGGGUCUUAGGA